UACGGAGGGGGCUAGCGUUGUUCGGAAUUACUGGGCGUAAAGCGCACGUAGGCGGACUCUUAAGUCAGGGGUGAAAUCCUGGAGCUCAACUCCAGAACUGCCCUUGAUACUGGGAGCCUUGAGUUCGGGAGAGGUGAGUGGAACUGCGAGUGUAGAGGUGAAAUUCGUAGAUAUUCGCAAGAACACCAGCGGCGAAGGCGGCUCACUGGCCCGAUACUGACGCUGAGGUGCGAAAGCGUGGGGAGCAAACAGG
rnacentral:rRNA from 1 species